ACACGUAGGAACCGAGCGUUGUCCGGAUUUACUGGGCGUAAAGGGCGAGUAGGUGGCCCGUUAAGUCUUGUGUGAAAUCUCCCGGCUCAACUGGGAGGGGUCAUGAGAUACUGGCAGGCUCGAGGGCAGUAGAGGAAAGUGGAAUUCCCGGAGGAGUGGUGGAAUGCGUAGAUACCGGGAGGAACACCAGUGGCGAAAGCGACUUUCUGGGCUGUUCCUGACACUGAGGCGCGAAAGCAUGGGGAGCAAACCGGAUUAGAAACCCGAGUAGUCC
rnacentral:rRNA from 1 species